GAUGAACGCUGGCGGCGUGCCUAAUACAUGCAAGUCGAGCGAACAGACGAGGAGCUUGCUCCUCUGACGUUAGCGGCGGACGGGUGAGUAACACGCGGAUAACCUACCUAUAAGACUGGGAUAACUUCGGGAAACCGGAGCUAAUACCGGAUAAUAUAUUGAACCGCAUGGUUCAAUAGUGAAAGACGGUUUUGCUGUCACUUAUAGAUGGAUCCGCGCCGCAUUAGCUAGUUGGUAAGGUAACGGCUUACCAAGGCAACGAUGCGUAGCCGGCCUGAGAGGGUGAUCGGCCACACUGGAACUGAGACACGGUCCAGACUCCUACGGGAGGCAGCAGUAGGGAAUCUUCCGCAAUGGGCGAAAGCCUGACGGAGCAACGCCGCGUGAGUGAUGAAGGUCUUCGGAUCGUAAAACUCUGUUAUUAGGGAAGAACAAAUGUGUAAGUAACUAUGCACGUCUUGACGGUACCUAAUCAGAAAGCCACGGCUAACUACGUG
rnacentral:rRNA from 1 species